GAUGAACGCUGGCGGCGUGCCUAAUACAUGCAAGUCGAGCGAACAGAUGAGGAGCUUGCUCCUCUGACGUUAGCGGCGGACGGGUGAGUAACACGUGGAUAACCUACCUAUAAGACUGGGAUAACUUCGGGAAACCGGAGCUAAUACCGGAUAAUAUAUUGAACCGCAUGGUUCAAUAGUGAAAGACGGUUUUGCUGUCACUUAUAGAUGGAUCCGCGCCGCAUUAGCUAGUUGGUAAGGUAACGGCUUACCAAGGCAACGAUGCGUAGCCGACCUGAGAGGGUGAUCGGCCACACUGGAACUGGGCCACGGUCCAGACUCCUACGGGAGGCAGCAGUAGGGAAUCUUCCGCAAUGGGCGAAAGCCUGACGGAGCAACGCCGCGUGAGUGAUGAAGGUCUUCGGAUCGUAAAACUCUGUUAUUAGGGAAGAACAAAUGUGUAAGUAACUAUGCACGUCUUGACGGUACCUAAUCAGAAAGCCACGGCUAACUACGUG
rnacentral:rRNA from 1 species